CCUACGGGUGGCAGCAGUGAGGAAUAUUGGUCAAUGGUCGGGAGACUGAACCAGCCAAGCCGCGUGAGGGAUGAAGGUACAGAGUAUCGUAAACCUCUUUUGUCAGGGAACAAAGGCGGGGACGUGUCCCCGGCUGAGUGUACCUGACGAACAAGCAUCGGCUAACUCCGUGCCAGCAGCCGCGGUAAUACGGAGGAUGCGAGCGUUAUCCGGAUUUAUUGGGGUUAAAGGGUGCGCAGGCGGUCUGUUAAGUCAGCGGUCAAAGCCCGUGGCUCAACCCCGGCCCGCCGUUGAAACUGGCAGUCUCGAGUUGGAGAGAAGUAUGCGGAAUGCGCGGUGUAGCGGGGAAAUGCAUAGAUAUCGCGCAGAACUCCGAUUGCGAAGGCAGCAUGCCGGCUCCACACUGACGCUGAGGCACGAAAGCGUGGGUAUCGAACAGGAUUAGAUACCCCUGUAGUC
rnacentral:rRNA from 1 species